rnacentral:rRNA from 1 species
CCCUUAGAUGUUCUGGGCCGCACGCGCGCUACACUGAUGCAUUCAACGAGUUUCUUCCUGGUCCGAGAGGAAUGGGUAACCUUUUGAAAGUGCAUCGUGAUAGGGAUAGACUAUUGCAAUUAUUGGUCUUCAACGAGGAAUUCCUAGUAGACGUAGUUCAUCAGACUGCAUCGAUUACGUCCCUGCCCUUUGUACACACCGCCCGUCGCUCCUACCGAUUGAAUGAUCCGAUGAAUAUCAUGGAUUGAGGAUGCAAGUAGGUUAGCCUAUCUUCAUCUUCGAGAAGUGAAGUAAAUCUUAUCAUUUAGAGGAAGGAGAAGUCGUAACA